rnacentral:rRNA from 1 species
CGAAUGCAGCUGAAGUGGCUCCGUAUCAGGUUCAGGGGACGUUGGGGGACGCGUCGGUUGGCGGCAGCCCUAGGCGUCGUCGGUCGGGACGGUCUUGCGACAACCCUGCACUCCUGUGUGGAGCCGGCCAACGGCAGUUGCCCCUAGCCCAGAAGGUCGGUCGGGAGGUGCCUCUGCACACUCUUGUGCAGAGAACGUACAGCCGUCAGUCCGGCGGUCCGGGGACGACUGAGGAGAGUCGUGAAUUUUCACGCGUGCAGCGCAGGCCCUCGGGCCGGGUCGCCUCUGUCCGUUUGGGCCCCGCGGUGGGGACUGCUUUGCAGUGUCCGCCGACGGUCAGUCCGCUCGGUCGGGGGGUCGGCC